rnacentral:rRNA from 1 species
UGAGGAAUAUUGGGCAAUGCCCGCAAGGGUGACCCAGCAACGCCGCGUGGAGGAUGAAUGUCGUAAGAUUGUAAACUCCUGUUAGAGGGGAAGAAUAGUACCGGUUGGACCGGUAUAUGACUGUACCCUCAGAGAAAGCCCCGGCUAACUACGUGCCAGCAGCCGCGGUAAUACGUAGGGGGCAAGCGUUGUCCGGAUUUACUGGGUGUAAAGGGCGCGCAGGCGGGAUAGCAAGUCAGUGGUGAAAUCCCGUGGCUUAACCACGGAAUUGCCAUUGAUACUGCUGUUCUUGAGUACGCUCGACGUGGGCGGAAUGUGCCGUGUAGCGGUGAAAUGCUUAGAUAUGGCACAGAACACCGAUAGUGAAGACAGCUCACGAGGGCGAAACUGACGCUGAGGCACGAAAGCGUGGGGAUCAAACA